AGCUGAGAAAAUUCGGUCCAGAGUCUGUAAGUCUCGUCACGUGACUCGCGAGAUUUUACGAUAAUUUUCACUUCCUCGCACAUGGUCAUGGUGAAUGUGUAUUGAGUUCAGCAUGUUUCUAGUUUACACACAGCUUUCAGGGGGAAAUUAAAUAGUUUUACAAAGCCGAAGGGUUGUCCGACUUACGAUGUAUGAAUUUCAUGUCAUAAGAAAUUGGGUGCGAGCGUCCACCAGGAAUAUUUCGAUCGAAAUACAGAUUUCUCUUGAAUCCGAGAUGUUAUUCAUCAGCUGAUUAUAGAGGAGGAGUUUUCUCAUUGAUGGGAACCAACGUCAUAUUUAUGAUACUGUGGCUGCAUCACUUUUGUUUGGCAGAGGUACAAGAGAACCAGUAACACAGAUAAAAGAUGCAGUUCCUAAGAGAUCCAAAGUCAGCAGCACCUAAGACUAUACUGAUCAUGACUUUGAAUUAUCAGCAUCCAAAACAAUGCAAAUCAAAUACAGGUUUUGUCUGUACAUCUGGCAAUCUUGGGGCAAUACUGGAUGGUUUUAAAUAAGAACUGAUCCAGCAUGAAGACCAGCCAUGUGCCUCACCUGUUAUGACAUUAUUAAAGUACUUUGUGACAGUGGGAUGAUGGAAUAUUAAAGAAUGGACAUGGCUCUAUAUUACUGCAUCAGAAAUCAAUCCAGGUUUACUUAUAAAUCAAAGAAAAACACUCAAACAGUCAAGCAUCAUUUGAAGCUACAUGUGUCACCGCUUUAACAAUAUGCCUGCUUAUAUAACCAAAAAACACAGUGACCAGUUGUACCUAUGAUGUCAGACAAGAUCCCGAAAAAACUUCCAGUACACUCAUCACU